CAGACACGUGGGUAUAUAUUAAAAAUACAAUGCAGCGGUUCAGUAGAGUUGGAGACAUUCAGACUAAUGAGAGAAGAGGGACACAGUCACCAUUAUGCGCGAUUUAAGGGCUGUUCUGUGAAAGAGAGAGAGGACUUUUUAUGUGUAACCCUUAGUAGCAGACAGAUUUCAGCUCCAGAGAAGAUGAGCAGACAAGCUCCUUGAGGGUAUGGAAUGUGUCUCCUCCACUGUUACAUCCUUACAUCUAGGACAGUGUCUGGCAAUGAAGUAAGCCUUAACUAAUGCCUGUUAGAUGGAUAAAUUAAUGUACUCAAGCAUCUGAGGACAGGUUAAACAGUUAGAAUCCUGUCUCAUUUGGAAAUUCUUUGGUUUAUGACGGUAGUUCUCUAGGAAUCAGAAGAAAGAACUCUUCUUGGUGGCUGGAGUGCCCAGGUAAGGCUUUGAGGAAGGGGAAAGAUGGAGCCUCUCUUCUGCAUCAGAUAACAUGACCAGAGAUGUGGGCCUUACAAUGCCAGAGGUGCAGUCUGCAAGCAUUGCACCUGCCAAUUCCUCAACAGCUAUUGAUAUACUAAAGGGCAAAAUGUUCACAAAUUACCCAGCAAGUAUCUUCAUAUGGACCUUUUCGAAGGGAACAUAUUUUGAGAGAACAUAUGCUUUUUGAUGCUCUAUGCUCGAUUGAAUUAGGUAAUAAGCAUUCAGCCCAUCC
rnacentral:lncRNA from 1 species